AACGAACGUUGGCGGCGUGGAUUAGGCAUGCAAGUCGCGCGAAUGCCCGCAAGGGUGGAAGCGGCGUAAGGGGCAGUAAGGCACGGGUAACCUACCCCCGGGGUCGGGAUAGCCCGUAGAGAUACGGGGUAAUACCGGGCGACAUCUGCGAGGGGCAUCCCUUGCAGAUCAGAGGUCCGCCGCCCGGGGAGGGGCCCAUGUGGUAUUAGCUAGUUGGUGGGGUAACGGCCCACCAAGGCGAAGAUGCCUAGCGGGUGUGAGAGCACGACCCGCGCCACUGGCACUGAGACACUGGCCAGACACCUACGGGUGGCUGCAGUCGAGGAUCUUCGGCAAUGGGGGCAACCCUGACCGAGCGACGCCGCGUGGGCGACGAAGGCCUUCGGGUUGUAAAGCCCUGUCGAGGGGGAGGAAAGCCGCAAGGUUUGACCCAUCCCUGGAGGAAGCACGGGCUAAGUUCGUGCCAGCCGCCGCGGUAACAC
rnacentral:rRNA from 1 species